AAAGAUUCUCUAAAGAUUCCUUUAGAAGGUUCUAGAAGAUUCUUAGAAUAUUCCCUAAAGAUUCUCUUAGAAGGUUCUAGAAUAUUCUUAGAAGGUUCUAGAAUAUUCUGAUAGAUUCUAGGAAGUUGCUCGAGAAGUUUCCUAAUUAGUAGAAGUUGUUGGAGAAGCAUCCUAGUUAGCGGAAGUAGCUCGAGAAGCUUCCUAUUCAGUAGUAUAUAUAGGAGUCGAGGCUGAAGGAUUCUUCAGUCUCGACAACACAUCUCUUGGAGUUCUAGCUCACCUUUCUGGUGUUGUUCUUGUACUCAUCUGUUUAAUCUAGUUCUGCCACUUCUUCUUGAAAUUCUUGUUAGAUUUCAAGUCUGUAUUUUGUGUCCGUGACAGUUUGUCGAGACUCCAUUUUCACUGGUAUCAGAGCUAGUUCCUUCUUGUUAGAGAGUGGAUUACCCCUCAUCUUGAAGGUGUGCUAGUGUUUUAGAGGUUGCGGAUUACCCUCCUCUAAACUGAUAUCUCUUCUUUCUCAAUAUUGGAGCCUUAUUCUUCUUGGAGAGAGUGGAUUAUCCCUCAUCUUGGAGUCUUAAGGCGUUUUAGAGGUUGCGGAGUACUCUCCUCUGAACCAAUAUUGUCCUCUUGUCAAAACUCUUUUUUCUUCUUUCUGAAGGUUAGCCGAAGGUUAAGACGUUAAAAUGGCUGAAAGUUUGGAAUCCAAACUAGACGCCAUCAUAAAUGCUCUUGCCUCGUUGUCACAUAGGACAACAGAGAUCGAAGGAGUCAUGGUAGGACUCCAUAACAAUGGAGCAUCUGGGAUAGCGCCAUCUAAAGCAUAUCAGCCUCAAACUUUUGCGCCAGAAGAAGCAGUUCUACCUCCAUUUCAACAAGAUCGAGUAGUCCUACAACGAAAGGAGCCUCGAGUUAGUCUUCCGGAUAAGUUUGAUGGAACUCGUUCCAAGUUUCGAGGUUUUGUCAACCAAAUCAGGUUGAUAACAAUUUUACAGCCCGAACGUUAUCCGACGGAGGAAGCGCGUGUUGGGCUUGUUGGAACCUUGCUUACAACACAAGCUCUGUCUUGGUUUACUCCCUUGUUCGAGAAGCGAUCGCCAAUCCUGAGCAACUUUGAAAUGUUCUUGGAGGCGUUUGCAGAAGCAUUUGGCGAGCAUGAUAAAGUUCGAUGGGCUACAACAAAGAUCCGAUCGCUACGACAAGGAACACGCUCUGCAUCAGUCUAUGCCUCGGAUUUCAGACAAUUGGCAAGUGACAUUAAUUGGGGUGAAGAGGCGUUGGUGAGUCAGUUUUAUUGGGGCUUGAAGGAUGAUGUGAAGGACUUGCUGUUAUUUCUUCCUGAUCCUCAAACGCUCAACGAAGCUAUUAGCCAAGCUAUAAAGUGUGACAACCGCCUAUUCCAGCGUCGCCAAGACCAAUGUCCAAGACACCAAAUGACUCGUUACGACGUGGCUAUGUCUGCAAAUAGCUUAAACUCACAUUCGGAGGCAACAGACAUGCAAAUCGACACGGCGCGUGUCCGAUCUCUUACUCCAACAGAGAAGAAACGGCGUAUGGAGGAAAGGUUAUGUUUGUACUGUGGAGAAGAAGGUCACAAGGUUGGAAAUUGCCCAAAGAAGCAAAAUUGGCACCCUGUCAAGACUAGAAGUGCGAUGAUUCCGGAAAACGACGACGCCCAGCCACAGUAGGAACCGUGGGGCUGGACAAUCUAAUAUCACGACAACAAUCAGGUUCCUCCUUCUCUGUCCAACCUGCCCGUUGUUUUACAAUUCUUUUGUUUUUAGGCCCUCAAAAACAAAAAACUUUAGCUUUAUUGGAUUCGGGGGCAUCUACUUGUUUUUUAGAUGAAGAGUUUGCUAAACGCCACAAGAUCUGUUUAGUACAGAAGUCCAAACCUGUUCACGUAGAGGUGAUAGAUGGACGACCCUUAUUGUCAGGCAACGUUACCCACGAAUCAGAACCUAUAGAAGUGGUGUUUAAGGACCAUAGUAGUCACGUUAUUUUUAAUAUUAUUAGAACCCCAUCAAGCCCUGUUAUCCUUGGUCUUUCUUGGUUAGAAGAUCAUAAUCCGUCCAUUGAUUGGAGGCUACGAAGGAUAACAUUUCCUGAAAAAAAUAAUAAUAAACCUGUUGGUAGAACCUACAUGAAGAAAUCCAUGUUUAUUGGAGCGAGAGCGUUCCUAAGAUCGUCCAAGGAAGGCACACCAUUUGUCAUUUAUGCAGCUCCAACUAGCGGCGAGAAUAUCUCAACAUCGAAUAUACCAGAGCAAUAUAGGGAUUUUGAAGACGUGUUUCAGAAGAAGAACGCCGAUAUACUGCCGGAACAUCGACCAUAUGAUUGCGCCAUAGACUUAGAGGAAGGAGCGCAACCACCUUUUGUUCCAAUAUACAACCUAUCGCAGACGGAGUUGGCAGAAUUGCGGAAGUACAUCGAUGAGAAUCUAGCCAAGAAUUUUAUUCGACAUUCAAAGUCGCCAGCUGGAGCACCAAUCCUAUUCGUGAAGAAAAAGGAUGGCUCACUGCGGAUGUGCGUGGACUACCGAGGACUCAACAAGGUGACCAAGAAAAAUCGCUAUCCCUUACCUUUGAUCUCCGGCCUCUUAGAUCAACUUGGAUGUGCAAGGAUUUUUACAAAGAUUGAUUUAAGAGGAGCCUACAACCUUGUGCGAAUCAAAGAAGGAGAUGAAUGGAAGACAGCCUUUCGUACAAGGUAUGGCCAUUUUGAGUACAAUGUCAUGCCUUUUGGUCUUACCAAUGCUCUAGCGGUCUUUCAGCAUAUGAUGAACGACAUCUUUCGGGAGUACCUCGAUGACUUUGUUGUCAUCUAUCUGGAUGAUAUUUUGAUAUUUUCCAAGAAUGAAGAAGAACAUGAGAAGCACGUUUGUUUGGUUCUUGAAAAACUACGCGAACGAGGACUCUACGCCAAGUUGGAGAAGUGUCAAUUUCACCAGAAUGAGAUGGAAUUUUUGGGCUUCAUUGCGACUACAGAGGGCUUGAAGAUGGAUCCAAAAAAGGUAGAAGCAAUUAUAUCUUGGGAAGUUUCGAAGACGGUUAGAGAUGUUCAGUGUUUUCUUGGAUUUGCUAACUUCUAUCGGAUCUUCAUCAAGAAUUAUUCUCAAGUUGCUGCACCACUCACGCGUCUAACAAGCAAAGACAAGCUCGAAUGGGGAUCACAAGCAGCAAAAGCAUUUCAAGAUCUCAAGACGGCAUUCACUACGGCUCCAAUCUUGGUACACCCUGACUUUGCAAAGGCUUUCUAUUUAGAGACCGAUGCUUCAGAUUUUGCUUUGGGAGCUGUGCUUUCACAGAUGGGCAUAGACAAGAAGCUUCACCCAGUUGCGUUCUAUUCACGAAAGUUCUCUGCUGCUGAGAUCAACUACGAGAUCCACGACAAAGAGCUGCUUGCUAUAGUGGAUGCCUUCCAAGAGUGGCGUCACUUCCUCGAAGGAGCUGCACAUCCAGUGACUGUUUAUACAGACCACAAGAAUUUGGAGUACUUCAUGACAGCUCGAAUUUUGAAUCGUCGUCAAGUUCGAUGGAAUAUGUCUCUAUCACGAUUUGACUUUAUUAUCACCUACCGCCUUGGAAAACAGCAAGGAUUAUCUGACGCAUUAACGAGGAGAUCGUAUCUUGCGCCAAAGGCUGGAGAAGCAGCGUUUGAUCAACAAUGUACAACAUUGUUGAAACCAGAAAAAUUCAGGAUUUUUGCUACUGUUGCAACUAUCGAUGGUGGCUUCCUCAGCGAGGUACGUACUGCGACCAUUGAGGAUUCUAUAGCUCUUGACAUCAAACAACGUGUCGAUAAUGACAAGUUUAAGGUGGAGGGAGAUCUUCUGUAUUUUGAGGAGCGGUUGUAUAUCCCGAAAGGACUAACUCGUCUCCGAGUACUUCAAUCUCGCCACGACUUUCCAGCUGCGGGACAUUUUGGAUUCAACAAGACUUUGGAGCUCAUUUCACGAGAUUUUUGGUGGCCCCAAAUGUGGAAGGAUGUGAAGGAAUUUGUCCUUUCUUGUGAUGUUUGUUCAAGAUCCAAGAUCCCUCGACAUCGUCCGUAUGGACUUCUCCAGCCAUUGCCUAUUCCGCACCGACCAUGGUCUUCAGUUUCUAUGGACUUCAUUACGGACCUACCGCCAUCGAAUUCAUUUGACAGCAUCUUUGUUGUGGUGGAUCGAUUUACAAAGAUGGCACAUUUCGUGCCUUGCAAGAAAACAUCGUCAAGUGAAGACACCGCAAGACUCUUUCUUGAUAACAUAUAUCGUUAUCAUGGCCUACCAGAUGAUAUCAUGUCGGAUCGAGGUACUCAGUUUGUAUCCAAGUUUUGGAGGUCUCUCUUUGAGAUAUUGAAGGUGGAUAUUAAGCUCUCUUCGGCUUUUCAUCCUCAAACUGACGGUCAAAUGAUGCGGGUGAAUUAAGUUUUGGAGCAAUAUUUACGAUGCAGCAUCAACUAUCAACAAGAUGAUUGGACUGCAUAUCUAUCGCUUGCUGAGUUCGCAUACAACAACACUCUUUAUGCGUCAACUCAACAAACACCAUUCUUCUCCAACUACGGAUACUACUCCAAGCUCGAUUUAUUGAGUUCUUCAGCAAAUAACAACCCAGCAGCUGAAGGAUUUGUGAAGCAACUAUCGGAGCUUCAAGCGACGUUGAAGCUUCAAUUGCAAUCUGCCCAAGAGAGUUACAAGGCAUCUGUAGAUAAAUAUCGAAAUGAGGCGCCUACUUUUAAAGUUGGAAGUAAAGUAUGGCUUCUUCGAAGGAAUAUCAAGACCAAGCGGCCAUGUGACAAAUUGGACUAUCGGAGAUUAGGGCCAUUUAUUAUCGAGAAGCAGAUCAAUCCGGUGGCAUAUCGUCUGGAGUUACCAGCUGCUAUGAAGGUACAUCCAGUCUUUCAUGUGUCUUUGUUGGAACCUUAUCGAGAGUCAGCUUUUCCCCAAAGAGUACAAAGUCCGCCACCAAGUAUCGAAAUUGAAAACCAUGAGGAAUACGAGGUGGAAAAGGUAUUAGAUUCACGGCGUAAUAGGAGAAAAUUGGAGUAUUUAGUGCAUUUGAGUGGAUACGACAUCAAUGAACGAACGUGGGAGCGUGCCGAAAAUCUUGCCAAUGCACCAAAAAAGGUACAAGAAUUUCAUCAACGAUAUCCUCAUAAACCUAAGCCGAUUCAACGAUAGCUUCUUGCUGAAGCUUGCUCAUCAAGUAGCAUAAAAAGAGGGGAGGGCACCUCCAAAACCCAUAGUUCGAUAGUGUAGAACUUUGUUAGCAACUAUAGUUUGCUCUCAUUAUUUUAGCCUUUGGACAUGGAUAGUCAAGAUACUACACUUGUUAUGUCAUCUCAAGCGACUAGCUCACGAAGACGACCGCGAGAUGAAGAACCGCCUGCACCACGACGACGUCGGAGGAUACUGAGCAACAGAUCGCUAGUAAUUGUAUUUGAGGUCGAGCCUGCCUACGACGGUCAGCCAGAAGGUGUGUUUGGAGGACAGUUUCACAAUGAAGAUACAGAAGUCCACGCUUGGUCAGAGGUUGAAGGUGUUGGUCACUACCGUUGGCUCCAAGGGCCGAUGAAUCAUUUGCCUCGCAAACAACAAUUGGAAUUCAUAGCGGAUGUGAUGCGACAGAUUUUCAUUUUCUUGCGUUGGUAUUGACUGAUAACAACAUUGCUUCUCGGAGACCUCGAAGUUAGAAGAGGAGGUGAUGUCAUGGACAUACAUUGGAAGAUUCUUCGAAUAUUCUUCUAGAAUAUUCUCUAAAGAUUCUCUAAAGAUUCCUUUAGAAGGUUCUAGAAGAUUCUUAGAAUAUUCCCUAAAGAUUCUCUUAGAAGGUUCUAGAAUAUUCUUAGAAGGUUCUAGAAUAUUCUGAUAGAUUCUAGGAAGUUGCUCGAGAAGUUUUCUAAUUAGUAGAAGUUGUUGGAGAAGCGUCCUAGUUAGCGGAAGUAGCUCGAGAAGCUUCCUAUUCAGUAGUAUAUAUAGGAGUCGAGGCUGAAGGGUUCUUCAGUCUCGACAACACAUCUCUUGGAGUUCUAGCUCACCUUUCUGGUGUUGUUCUUGUACUCAUCUGUUUAAUCUAGUUCUGCCACUUCUUCUUGAAC
rnacentral:lncRNA from 1 species